CUCUCUCUCUCUCUUUUCACUGUCCCUCUGUCCCUCUCCCCACUCGCUCUCUCUCUAAAAUAAAAACAUAAAAAAAAAAAAGAAUUACGAUUCGUUCCUAAUGUAUUUUUUACUUUUUAUUUCAACCUAAAGAAAGGGGAGGCGCAGUAGAGGUCAUUAUGUUGUUAAUAAAUGAGUUAACAUACCUGCCCUUUUCUUAGUGGCUGACCUCCCCUUCUGGGUUUUUUGCUUUAGGAAACUAUCCAAUCUGCAGACAAAAUUUGUCUACACUGAAGUCUGCUGGAAGCCAUGCUGAUUACUAGAAAGGCAGGAAUCUUCCCUAGAAGGGAUUCCGAGUGGAAGGUCACUCUGAGACACCUGUGUCAUUAGACAGGGUCUAGCAUCGUCCCCCGGUGGGGCUGCGCAUGGCCCCCCCUCCCCGUGCAGAGGACCCAGCCUGGAUGGGGCUGUCGCACCUGCCACACGUGCUCUGGCUUCCACGUCACCCGUUUUCACCUUUGGGCGUACUGCAGAUGGAAUUGGGAUAAAAGCCUAACAGAUGACUUUCUAUCCCCUUGACUUAUUGCAAAAGUCACGAUUUCCUUCAAAUCCGGCUGCAAAACGGCACUUAUUUUAAUGGUUGUUUCCUGAAAUCAGAUAUCCUCUACAUUCCUCGAAAAUAAAUUAUUUUAAAUGGCUGCAAGAAGCCUUAGAUGACAUUCUAAAGAGCAUUCCUAGAUACCAAAGGAGUGGUCAUCACUUGAAAUGUGUCCCCUAAAAGGCGUGGGCCGAUCAGGGAGGUGCCAGCAACUGUCCCUUUCACCUUUGUCAUCUGGGCCAGUUAUCAGGAAGCACCCAAUCUUCCCUUUCACUUUUAAAAUGCCCUGGAUUGGACGACAGAUUGGUCACACUCCAAGUAACCAAACUGGGUGGGAUGGUGUGGGGUCUGAGGGUCAGCCAGUGUGACAGCGGACCCAGGAAUUAACAAGACGAAGCCGACGUUGGGAUUAGAACAGUGGUUCCCACACAGAAAAUCUGAGCAGGGCCACAGGAGAGGGCACACGGUAUCUUUUUGCCUGCAUGCUAACCCCUAAAUGGCGGUAAGGGUGCACCCCUAAAACUAGAAAAUUAAACACAGAAGUUCAAAGAUCCAUUUCCCUCAUCUUACAAAUGAGAGAGAACAGGUUAUAUGUUAUCAAUUCUAUAAACUUAAAGUCAAAAAUUUCUACCGAACUUUAUCAAAUAAGCAAUAAUAUCUGUAGUUAUUUUCAUCAUAAUGAAACCUCUUCUGAUUCUUAGAGAGAGAGAGAGAGAGAGAGAGAGGGAGACCUCAGAGAGGAGAAUGAAUUUCUCUAAACCCCCAGAGCCAGUUCCUGUCAGCGUGGGGACUUGAGCCCAGCCCUCACUGCACUUGGCCAGUGCGUUUCUACUCGAUCUUGCCCUCCUCUCUUCAUUGUAUAAAGGAUUUGGUGAUAUCUAGAGGAGUUGGGGCCUUUAAAAAAAAAAAAAAAAAAAGUCGCUCUGGCCUUAUUAGAGACCAUCUGGUUGUUCCCCAACUCUCCUCUGUCACUGCCCUGCAUCUUGACCACACGCACAGCAUGUUACAUGCACUGCAGGGGGGCCCCACCGGGCACUCAUGGGCUUGGUGCCACGGCUCUCAGAACCUGAAAAGCCCUUUAACUGGUUCCGCGAGUGAGUGACUCAGAUAUCCCUACACUCCCUGAGCCCUGGACGUCGUCACUUCCUGAAUGGUUUCCAUUGCUGCCUCACAAAGUCUGGCUGAGCACAUCUGGCUGUGUGGGCUGGGCACACAGUAGGCCUCAGUCACUCACGUGAUAAUGGUGUUCGGCCAGGGGAUCGGCCAUCCUGUGUCACAAAGUCCUGUCCCGCUGGGUCAGCCAGGUCAUUAGUGCUCAGGUUAGAAGAGUCUUCAUUCCAGUAGUCUCCUGCAUAGGUUCUUCGGGUGCCUGUACCCCUUUGGGUUAAGCUAUAAGUCAGCACUGAAAUGCUGCCCACGUCAUAACUCUGUCUGCUUCGUCCUCAGUUGCUCACGCAGUCCUCAGUCCUGAAUCAACCAGCCUUCUCUCCCCCAGUGUCGCUCCAUGGGGUAACAAGAAGUGAGGAUUUUAGCCCAUGGGUUCUCGCCCUAAAUAACAUCUGCCAAGACCUAAAACGUGAUCCAGAAGAAAAAAAUUCAUUAGGCAAAAUGAGAAGUUAACAGACAAAAUGACCCUGCCAUUGCUAGACUUCCUCUGUUGUUUUCUUUGUACCAUUUUCUUUCUUUCUUUCUUUUUCUUUUUCUUUUUUCCGAUGUUGGUUUAUAUCUGGUUGCAGAUCAAACCAGCAUCUCCUUCACAUGCAACGCCUCUAGUUUGGCUUCACUGAAUACCGCUCAGAAAAUGGGGUGGAUAAUUCAGUUUGUCAUGGUCAUUUCUGAGCCUCGCUCCCUCUCUCAUCUUGGAGACUGUUCUGUUUUUUCUAAAAACGAAAUGUUCUAUAUAAAUAUCACCCAAGCAGGUAUUUCUGCUUAAGCCAUUUGGUUACCAAAUGGUUUCAAUGAACUCAGGAUGGGGAGCUCCAAAUAAAACAUAUCUUCUCUAAUUUAAAAACAAAACCAAACUCAGCUACAAAGUCCUGAAGGACGAAUUCCGCUCUGCGAAAGAAAUAUUGGGACUUGUAAUUCCUCUAUUUCCCUGUCCCACCCAGAGAGUGACGUUUCGUGAUUUACUGCCAGCCGGGAUACUUUUAUAAAAACGUAGUACUGCUGUGUUUUCUCGUCCGGCCGAACAGGUCCUUCCCCAUCCCUGAGCCCCGCUGUGGCGCUCGUUGUCCGUAGUUUUGGUGUCGUGUGUGAUUUGCUGCAUGGCCGUGUGUUGGUCAGGUGAGCCGUGUGUAAACUGAUGUACCGCUGGUGUUUUAACACUGUGUCUCUGUAACUGUUUGCGCUGCUAGCUGCUACACUGAAGCAACCAUGCUGUUCUCAAGGCAGUCUACCCUUGAUGAUUUAGAUGGACCAGAAACUGUUCCUAAAACAAGUGAGCGUGCUCGACCUAGGCUUCGUAAAAUGUUCAGCACGGAUAUGUCCUCCUCAUCAGCUGACAGUGGCAGUUUAGCAUCGAGCGAGCCCACGCAGUGCACCAUGCUGUACUCGCGCCAGGGGACCACGGAAACCAUAGCGGAGGUGGAGGCCGAGCAGGAUGACGAGGCGGUGGCCAAAGACGCCGAUCAGGGAGGGGAGGAGGCCGCGGACUUGGGGCCGGAGGAGGCCUCGGAGGGCUCGGAGGCCGGCCUCACCCCAGAUGCCGAGCUGCCGCACUACUCCACCGAGGAUGGGGACGUGGAGGUGCCUCCCUCCUACAGCAAGGCGGUCAGCUUCGAGCGCCUGUCCUUCGGCUCGCGGGACGACUCUGCAGGCCAGAGCCGCAUGGCUGUGAGCCCUGACGAGAGCCGCUCAGACAGGCUCGAGUCCAGCAUCUUACCACCCCUGACUCACGAGCUGACGGCCAGCGAGCUGCUGCUAAAUAAGAUGUUCCAUGAUGACGAGCUGGAAGAGUCCGAAAAAUUCUACGUUGGCCAACCCCGGUUCUUGCUGUUGUUCUAUGCCAUGUACAACACUCUGGUGGCCCGCUCAGAAAUGGUGGGUUAUUUUGUGAUCAUCCUCAACCACAUGGUCUCUGCCUCCAUGAUCACCCUUGUGCUUCCCAUUCUGAUCUUCCUCUGGGCCAUGCUGUCUGUGCCCAGGCCCAGUAGACGAUUCUGGAUGAUGGCCAUUGUCUACACAGAGGUGGCAAUUGUGGUCAAGUAUUUCUUCCAAUUUGGCUUCUUUCCCUGGAACAAGAACGUGGAAUUGAACAAAGAUAAACCUUUCCACCCACCGAAUAUCAUAGGAGUGGAGAAGAAAGAAGGCUACGUCCUUUAUGAUCUCAUUCAGCUCUUGGCUCUUUUCUUCCAUCGGUCCAUUUUGAAGUGCCACGGCUUAUGGGAUGAAGAUGACAUCACCGACAGCGGCACAGACAAGGAAGAGUCGGAUGAUGAGCUGUCCCUCAGUCAUGGCAGGAGAGCCUCCUCUGAUUCUCUGAAAUCCAUCAACCUGGCCGCGUCAGCGGAGUCGGUGCACGUGUCCUUCCCGGAGCAGCCCACGGCCAUCCGGAGGAAGCAAUCGGGCAGUAGCUCCCAGAUAUCGCCCAGAUCCAGCUUUUCUUCCAAUAGGUCCAAAAGAGGCAGCACAAGCACCCGAAACAGCAGUCAAAAAGGAAGCAGUGUUUUGAGCAUCAAGCAGAAAAGUAAAAGGGAACUUUAUAUGGAAAAGCUUCAAGAACAUUUAAUCAAAGCAAAAGCAUUUACCAUAAAGAAGACUUUGCAAAUAUAUGUGCCCAUCAGACAGUUCUUCUACAACCUCAUCCAUCCAGACUACAGUGCUGUGACCGAUGUGUAUGUGCUCAUGUUCCUGGCUGACACUGUUGACUUUGUCAUCAUCGUCUUUGGCUUCUGGGCCUUUGGGAAACACUCAGCAGCAGCUGACAUCACCUCUUCGCUGUCAGAGGACCAGGUCCCUGGGCCUUUUUUGGUGAUGGUCCUAAUUCAGUUUGGAACCAUGGUCGUGGACCGAGCACUAUACCUCAGGAAGACCGUCCUGGGAAAGGUCAUUUUCCAGGUCAUUCUUGUGUUUGGAAUUCACUUCUGGAUGUUCUUCAUCUUGCCUGGUGUGACUGAGAGGAAAUUCAGCCAGAACCUGGUUGCUCAGCUUUGGUACUUUGUGAAAUGUGUUUACUUUGGGUUGUCUGCCUACCAAAUCCGUUGUGGCUACCCAACGCGAGUCCUUGGAAACUUCCUCACCAAGAGCUACAAUUAUGUCAACCUCUUCUUGUUUCAAGGGUUCCGCCUCGUUCCCUUUCUGACUGAGCUGAGGGCUGUGAUGGACUGGGUGUGGACAGACACGACCUUGAGCCUCUCCAGCUGGAUCUGUGUGGAGGACAUCUACGCUCACAUAUUCAUCCUGAAGUGUUGGCGGGAGUCUGAAAAAAGAUACCCGCAGCCCCGGGGGCAGAAGAAGAAGAAAGUGGUGAAGUAUGGCAUGGGAGGCAUGAUCAUCGUUCUGCUCAUCUGCAUUGUCUGGUUUCCCCUUCUCUUCAUGUCCUUGAUCAAAUCUGUGGCGGGGGUCAUCAACCAGCCCCUGGACGUCUCGGUCACAAUCACCCUGGGAGGGUACCAGCCUAUUUUCACAAUGAGUGCACAGCAGAGCCAGUUGAAAGUUAUGGAUCAGCCCAAGUUUAAUAAAUUUAUGAAAGCUUUUUCUAGGGACACUGGUGCUAUGCAAUUUCUGGAAAAUUAUGAAAAAGAAGACAUAACUGUAGCAGAACUGGAAGGAAACUCAAAUUCUUUGUGGACCAUCAGCCCUCCCAAAACAUGAGUUUGGGUGCAAAGGCAGAAAUUGCAACCGAUAAGCUUUCUUUUCCUCUUAAAAAUACCACACGAGAACAUAUAGCUAAAAUGAUAGCCGGCAACAACACGGAAAGUUCAAGAACACCGGUGACUAUAGAAAAGAUCUACCCAUAUUACGUGAAAGCACCUAGUGAUUCGAAUUCAAAACCUAUAAAGCAACUUUUGUCUG